CGUCAGGUCCUCAUGGCCCUUAUGGGUAGGGCUUCACACGUCAUACAAUGGUCGGGACAGAGGGCUGCCAACCCGCGAGGGGGAGCUAAUCCCAGAAACCCGAUCGUAGUCCGGAUUGCAGUCUGCAACUCGACUGCAUGAAGUCGGAAUCGCUAGUAAUCGCGGAUCAGCAUGUCGCGGUGAAUACGUUCCCGGGUCUU
rnacentral:rRNA from 1 species